UGAAGUAUUAGCGCUUACAGAGGCGCCGGAGAUAGAGAAAAAAGAUGUCGUUUCCUCGGAAUGGAUCUUGGUGUUAGAUAAGCGAGCUUGGUCGGCUGGUAUGUAGCAGAAGGAAUGACCAAGUCCCUUGUGGAGAUGGUCGCCGACAUAAACUGCGUUGUCAUGCCGGCGGGAGAUGUCCCCUGCGACAGCACAACAGUAACUGACUUUUGUAACGCUGUUACCCAUCAAAGACUAAAGAAAAAAAAAUCCCAGAUAGGUAGAUGGCUGUUUCUUGUCUGGUUCUUGGGAUAUGCAGAAACUAUAUUAGAUUGCUCAUUGUUUUGCAGAGAAAGCAAAGUGAAACAAAGGAGAAGGAGAAGGGAAGAAGAAAAGAAACAACUCAGAUGGUGAAUAAAAG
rnacentral:misc_RNA from 1 species